rnacentral:lncRNA from 1 species
ACUGCGGCCGCUUCCGGACGUGAAAGUUUGCUGCGUAGGGAUAGGGAGACCGGGCCGGAUUGCGGGGAGUGAGCAGGUUCAGCAGUGACGGCAUUCUUAAGAGUCCUGCCCAAGUGAGGGACUUGGGGUGUGGGACAGAGUGGCCCCCAGGGCAGUGGGCGUUGGAAACUGAGAGGCCCUGCGAAGGAGGCUUGGGGAGGGGCUACGGUGACCAGGGGACGAGGUAUAGGAAGAGGAGGGCGGAAAGCCUUGAGGGUGGGCUUCUUGGAUCCCAAUUGCCCCAGAGGCACAGGCCUGGGCAUCACUGUAUUAUUUCCCGAGGGGAGAAGGGGCUAUUUCCCAUGGGAAGACAAAGUGGGAUGAAUAGUGGACCUUGAGAAGAGGGGGUGGCCAGGAAAAGGUUCCUGAAGGAGGCAGGACCCAGACUGCAGGCUGGGGAGGGUUUGGGCAGCCAGAGGGAGGUGAGGGUGCUGGAGCGGGGGUCAAUCGGUCACUCCGGCCGGAGAUCUGAGUGGCCUCUGCCCCCUCUGCGCUGUGGAGUGCAUCUGAUUGCCAGCCUCGCUGGACCGUUGAGAGGAUUCAUCGAGACCCUGGAUAUGAAUAUGCAGUGUGAACUGAAGUUUGGGGACAUGAGUAAUCAGUCACAGUGGCCCAAGAUUUGAGGUGUAAAUGGAGAAGUCAGAAUGAUUCGCUGCAGCUGUCUGGAACAGCUGCACCUGCAGAUGCUGCUGCUGCCGCCCUCCUGCGAGGCCGUGGCGCCACGUGGCUGGAGGAGGAGCUGCAGCUGCCCCGAGUGCUGCCGCGUGUGCAGCUCUCCAGUGCGGCUGCAGCGCCACCGCGCGUUGCUUUCGACGCCGGAGUCCUUCGCAUGCGCAGCCAGCGCCCGGGCCUCAAGUGCCCCAGGACCUGGCGCAGCCCGCGAGCCCGCAUCAGGCUUCCAGUGGGCCCCGUGGGCAGUGCCAGCCUUUCCCACCUCCGCAUCUGGCAAAGCCUGGCCUUCGCUGCGCUUCGGUGUCGCCACAUGCCUUCUGGAAAUAUCACACCUCCCCACCUGCGCAUGCAGCCGUCUGGCCCUCUGUGGGCCUCGGUUCCCGCAUGUGCCCCGUGGAAAGAACAUACCUUCCCCAACUAUCUGGCAGCGUCUGGCCUUCUCCGGGCCUCGGCCUCCCCAUUUGCUGGGUGGAGAAUCACGGCCCGGCCACAUCGGAGCCAAUGGCUGGUCUCUGGACCUCGGUCUCCACAUUUGCUCAGCCGGCAGGAACAUCCCUUCUCCCGCCCUCUACCUCGGUGGGUGGCCACGGCCGAGCAGGCAGCGACGGCCCAGUGGAAAGAGGACAAACCCUUGUGGGCCUUAGGGCGAAGACGUAACUUUGCUUAGUCUCGG